rnacentral:lncRNA from 1 species
AUGGUGGACUGGGCACCCGUUCUACUUGGGUUGAUGUUGUUCAUACUGCUGUCUCCUGGUCUUCUGUUUCAAAUACCAGGAAACACCCGCCAUGUUGAGUUUGGGAGCUUCACCACAAAUGGCAAGGCCAUUCUUGUCCACACACUCAUUUUCUUUGUCAUUUUCACCAUCCUGAUAUUGGCUUUUGGCAUCCACAUCCACACUGGCUGA